AACGAACGCUGGCGGCAUGCCUAACACAUGCAAGUCGAACGAGACCUUCGGGUCUAGUGGCGCACGGGUGCGUAACGCGUGGGAACCUGCCCUUAGGUUCGGAAUAACUCCCCGAAAGGGGUGCUAAUACCGGAUAAUGUCAUCGGACCAAAGAUUUAUCGCCUUUGGAUGGGCCCGCGUUGGAUUAGCUAGUUGGUAGGGUAAAAGCCUACCAAGGCGACGAUCCAUAGCUGGUCUGAGAGGAUGAUCAGCCACACUGGGACUGAGACACGGCCCAGACUCCUACGGGAGGCAGCAGUGGGGAAUAUUGGACAAUGGGCGAAAGCCUGAUCCAGCAAUGCCGCGUGAGUGAUGAAGGCCUUAGGGUUGUAAAGCUCUUUUAACCGGGAUGAUAAUGACAGUACCGGGAGAAUAAGCUCCGGCUAACUCCGUG
rnacentral:rRNA from 1 species